CUUGUAUGUUGUAUUUAAAGGGUAAUUAUGGUUGCAAACUUUAUUUGAAAUUCGAAUUGAGUAUAUGACUUUGACUUAAGGGAAUGUUUUUUUUUUUAAAUAAGGGAAAGGUGAAAAAAAUUGGGGAGGGAGGACUAUUUUUUCUUAUUUCAGAUUUCAGAAAUUAAAAAGAAAAUUUCUUCAAAGAUUUUUUUUGGGGUUAAUAUUCAACAGGACAGUGUAUUGCACAAAUGCAAAAAAACGAGGUCAAUUUUAUUUAGGAGGUCAAUUCGCAACAGCAUAGUGUAUUGCACAAAAGCAAAGCAUUGAAUAUGAAUUCAAAUCACAUAACCAAUUUUUACUUUCUUUGACUACAGUUAUUCUAUGACAAAUGUGUCAAAUAUUUGAUAACAAUCCAAAUUCAAACCUGUAUCAAGCGUAAAUAUUGUGUCCAUUAUUGCCCCAACGUUUCAGGGGUGGACAUCUGCAGUCGUAUCCAGCUGUGCUCAGCGAAGCAAUUUAUUUUUUACUAGAUACCUUAAUGAUGAUUAUAAUCAAGUUUGGUUCAAUUUGUCUCAGUAGUUUCAGCAAAGAUUUUUGUAAAAGGUUACAACAGUUUACAAAACAAUGUUAACAAUUGACUAUGAGGGC
rnacentral:lncRNA from 1 species